rnacentral:rRNA from 1 species
GAUGAACGCUGGCGGCGUGCCUAAUACAUGCAAGUCGAGCGAACAGACGAGGAGCUUGCUCCUCUGACGUUAGCGGCGGACGGGUGAGUAACACGUGGAUAACCUACCUAUAAGACUGGGAUAACUUCGGGAAACCGGAGCUAAUACCGGAUAAUAUAUUGAACCGCAUGGUUCAAUAGUGAAAGACGGUUUUGCUGUCACUUAUAGAUGGAUCCGCGCCGCAUUAGCUAGUUGGUAAGGUAACGGCUUACCAAGGCAACGAUGCGUAGCCGACCUGAGAGGGUGAUCGGCCACACUGGAACUGAGACACGGUCCAGACUCCUACGGGAGGCAGCAGUAGGGAAUCUUCCGCAAUGGGCGAAAGCCUGACGGAGCAACGCCGCGUGAGUGAUGAAGGUCUUCGGAUCUUAAAACUCUGUUAUUAGGGAAGAACAAAUGUGUAAGUAACUAUGCACGUCUUGACGGUACCUAAUCAGAAAGCCACGGCUAACUCCGUG